AGACCAGAUAGAUGUCGCUCCUCAAAUAACAUGAAAAUACGCGAGUGGUAUCCCAAAGUCGGCAGUCUGUCGCCACCGUCCUUACUAAAAAGCCGGAAAACGUUCAUUGUACUCGGUACCGCUUGUAAUAAUAACGGUAUGUGUAAAUAUUUUUUUUAUAAAAUGUAAACUUUAUGCCAUUUAAGUUCUUCUUGUUGAGUUGUUUAGUUCAAGAGAAUAAGAUUGGAAUUGACAACAAAAUUGGAUCACCCAGUAUUUCGGCAUAGGUUCUAGUAAAGUAAAAUGUUUUGGCCGUAAACCUUUAUUGGAUUGAAGACUUCAAACACUUUUAAGGUAAGUCAUAUGUAUAUCUAUGUUAAAUAGUAUUAGUUAAAUAUCAGGGAACAAUUAUGAAUACAACUAAGUAAAACUAAGAAACUUAAUUUGAUAGUUGAAACGUAUAAUGUUUUAAUACUAUUAUAGAAGUAAAUUCCAAAUAUAAAUUGU